ACAGAAACAGACCCAGCCCGGGGCUGAACGGGAAGGGGGAGUGGUAGUCACACCCCCGCCUCAGCAAGGAGUCUGCGAUGGACCGGCACACAUACGCUCCCCACCACAACUGGCUGCUGGCUUCCCCACGGCAGUCCUCACCGACCUACUCCCAGGAUUUAGAGUUGAUCUUGACUUAAAUGCAUCCAACCCGCGGUGGGUCAGAGGGCAGGAAGCUGGCUCUCCCAUCCGAAUCAGCAGUCCCAAGGCCAGGGGGAUGAGCCAUCAAACUGGGCCAUAAACAGAAGGAUCUGCCAAAGCUACGAAGCCAUUCAGUGUGGAUCUCUUCUGCCUUCAGCAAUUGCUACUGGGACACCGACUCCUUGGAAGAUGUCCUACUGCCUCUCCCACCUCAGCCCUCCAUAGCGUGACCUCCUUGUGGCCCCUCACCCAGUCUGCGUGUGGCAGGUACUGGAGCUUGUGGGUCACUAGGACCACUGUCCUCUUGUCAUCCUGGAGCAGCUCAAGG